CGGAGCUCCCUCGGGUGUAAUUCCCCAGCUGCUGACCUCUGAGUUAUUCUCAGUCCCCUGUCCCUCACAUCCAAAUAGGCUGGAGUUUAAUAACACCUCCGCCGUCACUCCCAAACACUGAUAGAGCGUUUUGCUCCUAAUAAGUUUAAAGUAUUAGAUGAAUUCACUGAUUACUUCAUCCUCGUGAGCGGUGAGGCUGGAACUAAGACCGUCACGUUUACAAACGUGCUUCGGAAUUGCUCCCAAGGUCAAGGAGCUGUUUGUGAGCGAGCUGUCACCAGAUUGUGCCCACCGGGGUCCCACACUUAGGGAAAAGCCCAAACCUGGAAAGUCCGCCGAACUCUGGCUGGUUUCCCACCCCUCAGCCAAACUGCAGGAUUUGGCAUCAUCCUGGACUCUUGAAAUGUUUAAUAGAAACGCAAACGCAAAUGAGACCGACCGGUCAGGCCAUGCGGAAACUGUCACCUUUAGCAAGUAGAAGUACAAGGAAGUUCCUGAAGAAGAUUGAAUUUAAAUUCAGCACCCCACCCCCGCACCGGGGGCAGGGGUGGGGUCCAUGGGUCACUCACACCUUCCUCUGUUUCCCACUUCACCUAAAAAAAACCGAGCCACAAGAUUAACUAUUGGGAGAGAAAUACCGCGAUGGUGUCAGAAAAAUCACCAAAAUCUCCUUCGCCGGAACAGAACUUCAACUUUGGUCUAUUGCGGUCACACGUGCAUCCCCAGGGCCUGGAAACAAGCCUGACACACAGCAGUCUGGGGAUAUGUCACAUGACAACUGAAGCUUGUGAGUUAGCUGAGAGCAUCUCCCCACGUUCCUCCGGGAACCCUAAGGAGCAAAGUGUCACGUGAACAGUGGUCCUUCCUCGCUGCGCCCGGCCUCCUGAGUCAGCUCAGUUCCUGAGCCUCCUUUUCUGAUUUCAGCUCCACCCUCUUCCCCUCUCCGUGGCGCCUGAACUUCCAUGCCUGCCUCAGUGUAUUACCGUAUUUGGUUCUGGGGCCCACAAAGAAGUCUGGAAAAGGAUCCAGGCCAGAAUAAAAGUAUUGCUUG